GGCGACUCCACCCGCGUCCAUCCUGUCACCUGGCGGCGUCAAGCUCUAGGUCAGGAGGGGGUCUUGGCCCACCGCCGCCUGCUUGUGUGUUUUCAAGACUUGCGAGCUGUGCACGCUCGCAGGUGGUGAGAUUUGCGGCGCUGGGACCCUGGUGAGGAGGUGACAGGUGGACCCAGUUUUGAGACUGCGCCCAGUUGCGGUGUCAGUUUUGGUGGAUGUAGCCUCCUGGGCUGCAGCUUUUUCUCACCUGUGGCUUUCAGGUCCGGGAGUUUCAGGAUCCCUUUUCCACGAGCCAGUGACAUCUUUCUGCUAGUAGGGUUGAAAUGAGAUGGUGCGUAUGAACGUUGCUGUGGUUUGUGUGCCCCCCAGAUUUUACGGGUUGGUAACUCGGUUAGUGGUAUUGGAGUGAACUCUCCCAAGCAUGCUGUGAUGCCCUCUGCCAUAUUUGAAGCAGCAAGAAGGACCUCAACAUGCUGGCGCCUGACCCUUGGACUUCCCAGGCUCAAGAACUGUGAACUAAAUAAACCUCAGUUGUGGUGUCGGAAGUGGGGUCUGAGGUCACCCCCUGCCAUGUCAACCCUUGGAAGAAUGGAUAAACAGGUAUACGUACUCAUUAUGCAUGAGAGUUCUCUGGAAAUGAGUCUUGGAGUGACUCAUUUCUCCAAGAUUUUUCUCAAGAUUAAGUGUAGAAUGUACCAGGAAUGCAUCACACAGAUACAGAAAGGCUGACUAGAAUAGCCUGAGCUCUGCACUCUCCCCUAGAAGCUGGAUAUCCUUUAACAUUUCAUCUCAGUGACUCAUGUGACCCCAAGGUUUAUGACCUGGGGCAGGCUGCUUUUUGUGACUUCAUAUUUGUGGUGCAGUGCACAAUCAAGACUCCAUCUUUCUGAGCCUUGGCAGAGUGGCUCACAAUGAGAGCUAGGCUUCCGCUGUCCUUUUCUGCCUAUUUGUAGGUAAUAAAUGCACAUUGUGAAACUUGUUGCCUGAGGAUAUAUCACUGGAUUCAGACAAGCUGGCUGUCAGCACACCAAGAACCUUCUUCCACACUGAGCCCUUCAUAGUCACUGUUUUCCUGCUGUGCAUUUGGAGGUCACCACUGGCAGAUACCUGUGUCGAGUUCUAUGAAUUUGAGCAUUUUUGAACUGAAUAGUAUAUGGGAGUCUCAACAGAAACUCUCCUGGGUCCAGUAUGAGGCCGCUAGUAACUGGGCUGGGUCCAAUAGGAGGCCUCUAGUAGGUAACAUGGAGUCAGCCAGAUGCUGGUGGUUCGUGCCCAUCCUAGCUACUUGGGAAGUUGAGGUUGGGUGAGUUUCAUUUCCAGGCCAGCCUCAGACAAAUAGUUCAUGAGACACCCCCCCCCCAUCUCCAAAAUAACCAGAGCAAAAACAGACUGGCUGUGUGCCCAAGAAGUAGAGUGUCUGCUUUGCAAGUGUGAAGCCCUGAGUUCAAACAACAAUUCCACAAAAGAAAAAAAAAAAGAAGGAAUCAUGGAUUCAUCUGGAUUCAAGUUGUUCCUCUUCUCUGUGUGAAACUGUCCAAUUGAUGUGUAGAAUUACGGAUCUAGUGAAGCUGGGGAAAAACCUGAGUGAACCCUCCAGCAACCCCUUGCUUUUGUCACCAAUUGUGGAGUCUCCUAGCUAAGCAGUGGACUCUGUUAGCUUUGCUACAGAUAGAACCUCCGAUGUGUGGGCCAUGAUAGUAGUGGUUGCCUAUGUUGUUUCUUGGGAAGUUGGAGGUAGCUCAAACCAGUGGAAACCACCAACCCUUCACUUGGGCCUGCACAGGUAUCUGAUCUUUGAUAUCAGGAGACCAAACUCCACCCUCAGAGCUGCCAUUUUCUGAAUAAGUAUCCUACAAGGAGACACAAGUUCAAUUAGGCACUCGUGUGCCACCAUUCCUCACACUUAGACCCCUUCUUUAUACCAUAAAUUGCCCUGGACCCUGUCCUUGGGGGAUGCUCCACAUUCACACUAUUGGCUGCCUUGGGAGUAAAUUCUUCUCUGCAAAACAGCAUGGUCAGGAAGAGAUGGUCACAAGACCUAACUGGUCGGUCCUUUGAUCUUGAGACAAAUAGGAUGAGCUGGUCUUUAUCUAUCCAUGCUGAUUCCUGACAACUUUUGCGGGCAGCCAUCUAACUCAGCAAUCUAGUCAAAGCCCACACUGGAUGGGGAAGCUGCCUAUCUAGUUAAAAUAUGCCUCUCUGGCUGAAGGAUGGUUUCCAGCCAGUUAUUUUGCAGAGCUGUGAUAUUCAGUUGGUAGGUGUUAUUAACUGUGUUUUUCAGCUUACAAGAUUUUCAACUUAUGAUGGCUUUAUUGGGCUGUAACCUCAUCAAAGGUUGAGAAGCAUCUGUGUUCCUUAAAUUCUCAGAGGCACUAACCCAAAAUUCACAUUAUCUGGA